UAUCGAAGCACUACGACCUUCAUUGCUUUCAUUGGGAAACUUUUGGCGUCAGAAUUCGACACGAGGACAUGAGAUGUUUAUCGCUAUGAAAUCACGUUCAAGAAGUCUCAUUCAGCACACAUCGCGAUACUUGCUAUCAGUUCCACAGUUUGGCUGAAAAGACGUAAAGGCAGUCAGCCCAGUGGUGUUUCUGGAGAGGGAUUCCUUCAGAAAUGGAGAAGACAGAAAGCUGUGGAGGCAGAUAUUUGCAGCAGUCUAAAAUAUCAAGCUCAACAGCUCACUCAAGAGCCAACCCUCACAAACCUUCCUAAAAACUAAAAGAGCUAUUACUGAGUCUCAGCGAAUCUUGCCAUGAUCAGCUCUUCCCAGAAGAGAAGGAAGACCAAGGAAAUGAUUUGCUCAGGAUGAGAAAUGAAGAUGGCCAUCUUGUGGAAACAGAAG